rnacentral:rRNA from 1 species
AGUGAACGCUGGCGGUAGGCCUAACACAUGCAAGUCGAACGGCAGCACAGUAAGAGCUUGCUCUUACGGGUGGCGAGUGGCGGACGGGUGAGGAAUACAUCGGAAUCUACUUUUUCGCGGGGGAUAACGUAGGGAAACUUACGCUAAUACCGCAUACGACCUACGGGUGAAAGCAGGGGAUCUUCGGACCUUGCGCGAUUGAAUGAGCCGAUGUCGGAUUAGCUAGUUGGCGGGGUAAAGGCCCACCAAGGCGACGAUCCGUAGCUGGUCUGAGAGGAUGAUCAGCCACACUGGAACUGAGACACGGUCCAGACUCCUACGGGAGGCAGCAGUGGGGAAUAUUGGACAAUGGGCGCAAGCCUGAUCCAGCCAUACCGCGUGGGUGAAGAAGGCCUUCGGGUUGUAAAGCCCUUUUGUUGGGAAAGAAAAGCAGCAGGUUAAUACCCCGCUGUUCUGACGGUACCCAAAGGAUAAGCACCGGCUAACUUCGUG